ensembl:lncRNA
UGUAUAUCGUGCUGCACGACAAUAUGUGUUAAUGAUCUUACGUACACAAAACAAAUCUAAACAUACCUUGCAGUCAUACAAUUCAAAAUGACAGUUUUAAAUUGACAUUAAACCAAUGGAAAGACGAUCAAGUCAGCCUAAUUCAAAUGUACAGUAACACGAGACAAUAUUUACAACCAGCGUUCUGAAACUAGAGUUGUGCUUCAGAAUGUAAGAGCUGUGGGUAUUGUAAUACACGGUUUGAACCCUGCCAUUUACAGUAACCUACCAGACAUGUCACAUUUACAGUAACCUACCAGACAUGUCACAUUUACAGUAACCUACCAGACAUGUCACAUUUACAGUAACCUACCAGACAUGUCACAUUUACAGUAACCUACCAGACAUGUCACAUUUACAGUAACCUACCAGACAUGUCACAUUUACAGUAACCUACCAGACAUGUCACAUUUACAGUAACCUACCAGACAUGUCACAUUUACAGUAACCUACCAGACAUGUCACAUUGUCACAUUUACAGUAACCUACCAUACAUGUCACAUGAAUGGUGGGACAUCAGGUUCUGUUGUAUUUCAGAGAGAGAACUAAAAACGGAAAACACAUGUGGUUAGUCUGUACUGUAUAUCUUUCAACACCUUUAACAGUAAGACACAUUAAAUCAAUGGUGUGGAAUUUCAGGAGAUAAAAAAUAUGUUAUAAAUAUGGAUAAAGUAGAAACUUCAACGUACUCUAUACUUAAUCAUUUCAAUUCAUUUCUAAAAUGUCUUAUUUUCAAAUAUCAGGUUUAGAGCAUUGGAUUGGUAACCCGAUAUUCACACCAUGCACGCACAUUAAGUCCCGUACAAUGCAACUCCAGUAGCAUAACGCCGUAGCUCUAAUCCAACUCAAAUCCAGUAGCAUAACGCCGUAGCUCUAAUCCAACUCAACUCCAGUAGCAUAAAGCCGUAGCUCUAAUCCAACUCAGCUUUCAAAUAGGGUAAACUGAGAGGAUACCUACAGGGUACACUGACCGAUACCUACAGGGUACACUGAGAGGAUACCUACAGGGUACACUGACCGAUACCUACAGGGUACACUGAGAGGAUACCUACAGGGUAAACUGACCGAUACCUACAGGGUAAAC